rnacentral:rRNA from 1 species
GAUGAACGCUGGCGGCGUGCCUAAUACAUGCAAGUCGAGCGAACGGACGAGAAGCUUGCUUCUCUGAUGUUAGCGGCGGACGGGUGAGUAACACGUGGAUAACCUACCUAUAAGACUGGGAUAACUUCGGGAAACCGGAGCUAAUACCGGAUAAUAUUUUGAACCGCAUGGUUCAAAAGUGAAAGGCGGUCUUGCUGUCACUUAUAGAUGGAUCCGCGCUGCAUUAGCUAGUUGGUAAGGUAACGGCUUACCAAGGCAACGAUGCAUAGCCGACCUGAGAGGGGGAUCGGCCACAUGGAAACGGAGACCCGGUCCAGCCCCCUCCGGGAGGCAGCAGUAGGGAAUCUCCCGCAAUGGGCGAAAGCCUGACGGAGCAACGCGGCGGGAGGGAUAAAGGUCUUCGUAUCUUAAAACUCUUUUAUUGGGGAAAAAAAUAUGUGUAAGUAACUGUGCACAUCUUGACGGUCCCUAAUAAGAAACCCAGGGCUAACUCCGUC